CCACUGAAGGAUGAGGAGCUGGUCAUCUAUAUGCUCACAGGCCUGGAGUCCGACUAUGAUCCUCUUGUUACCUCUCUCACAAUGAGGACCGAGCCGAUCGGACUCACGAAUUUGUAUGCACACAUGUUGAGUUUUGAGU